UACAGAGGGUGCGAGCGUUAAUCGGAAUUACUGGGCGUAAAGCGUGCGUAGACGGUUAUUUAAGUCGGGUGUGAAAGCCCCGGGCUCAACCUGGGAAUUGCAUUCGAGACUGAAUAGCUAGGGUACGGUAGAGGGAAGCGGAAUUUCCGGUGUAGCGGUGAAAUGCGUAGAUAUCGGAAGGAACAUCAGUGGCGAGAGCGGCUUCCUGGACCAGUACCGACGUUCAGGCACGAAAGCGUGGGGAGCAAACAGG
rnacentral:rRNA from 1 species